CCUUGUUUGGAAACUGGUUGUGUAGAGAAUAUGAGCCUUUGGAAAAAGAGGCUCAUAUAUUUUCAUAGUCAUAGCUUCAGUGUAACAUGCACCUUUGCAGUUCUUCGUAUUUCACCUGAUAAAUAAUCGAGACUGUAAUUUUUCCUCCUAUCUAGGUGAUUAUGUAGCUCUCAAUUCGUUCGAGCAAUCAGUCAUUCAUAAUAUGAAACACAGUCAUAGCUCAUUCACUCAAAAUGAUUCAGAAAUUUUACUUAUUGGAAUGAAAUCAGGCGAUGAUUCUUCUUCUGUGGCGGCUCGUGCUUUGCGGCAGUCUGUUAAUCUGUACAAAUAAAAUGCCUCGUAAUUUUUGGGAGUGUUGUAUAAUCAGUCUGGAAACCUCAGAUCAUGCGGAUAUUUGGCUUUGAUGAAGUUUAACCUUCCGAAGAAGUAAUGGAGCUCUUGGAUUUUUAAAUGCAGAAUUCUCCUUUCGACGAUGUAGCUGGCGAUCUCGUUGUGAAGUCGAUGGAACAUGAACACUGGGCACGGACAGCGGGUAGGCGACGUACAGCGUUUGGUGGAGGCGUUACGGAGGGCAGGUGAUGGCUUAUGAUACAGGACAGAAGCAGAUAUUCCAGCAGGGGAUUUCCAGCGAUGCCCUCAUGGAAGCAUAAUGGACGACCAUAUGAAUGUGAUCAACUUUCUGAAGAAGGAUCAAUCAGUAGGUCAAUGCUACACCUGACAGGCAGACCCAGAAUGAUUCUCUUCUUAAAUACACAAAAUUCUAAAGAAAGGUCGAGCACUGUUACUAUUUCAGGAGGAAAAUCUAUAACACCGAUAUAGGAUGCAAUAAAAGUAUCUGCAAGAAGGGUAUAUCCUGGACGGGAGUCAUACCAGCAGAGAUACACAGAGCUGUUAUGAUAAAACCAAAAAAAUCAAAAUUGUAACAGUCCUUUUACGGAACAACUAUGGAGCAGGUUGGAUGGGCAUUAAUAAACAUUUAUUCUACAAGAAAGUCUUCGAACAGAAGUCUGGAAGUGAACUGGAUGAAGAAUUUGAUGUCCUGGAGCUACCUGGUGAGGCUGAAGAGCAGAUCAGUAUUUGAUGUAUAAAGGUAGUGAUCUCAUUAUAUGUGCUAUUUUAAUGUAAAGCUGACAGCAGUUAUUCAAAAGAAUGAAUUAGUAGUUAUGUACUACAUUAUCUUUUGUAAUGGUCACAAAUAAUUUUGUAACAGGAAUAAAUAUUAUGAUAGUUGUAUGUUA